rnacentral:lncRNA from 1 species
ACUUGUACAAGUGAUUUUUAAAAUCACUUUCUCAAGUGAUUUUUUCAACAAAACAAGAGUUAAUUCCCUUUCAUUACUUUUUAAAAAUCACUUCUACCAGUGAUAAGAAAUAUAUUUUUAAAUCACUCAUUCAAGUGAUUAUUAUUGUUUGGAAAAUUUUCAAUAAGAAACCAGGAUUAUCCCUCUCUUUCAAAGAACAACAUCACAACAGGGGUCUUCUUGACAUUAGAUAACUAUAAAAAAGCCCUGAGUAAAAUUUAUUUUGUGAGCAAAAAAUAGCAUUAGAAGUAGUACAUAAAUUACUUGUUUUUCAUAAAGCAGAGGUUUCAAACCACCAAAACUUAAAAUAUAAAAGACCAUUAAUCAAAAACAAUUAUAGCUGAGUUUGGCGGUAAUAUAAGCAUUGUCUAUAUGUUUCAUAACAUUUGGUUGAGGCAAAUUUAAGUUAGAGAACAGAAACAAAUUUUUGGACAUACAGACAACAUGGACAAGGGUAAAAUUUAAUGGCCCUACGUAGACUACAAAUGGGCAUAAAAAGGAACAGCAAGAACAAUAAUAAACUGAAAAUGCUUUGACCAAAAACAAACACAAACAUUUUAACCAACAUUUGUAGAAAACUAAAGACCUGAGCAGUGAUAAAAUAAGAUUUUGCAGGUCAUAAUUAUAAUUUCUAGUGAAGUAAAUGGAAUACAAUUAUUCAUAGUAUUGAUCACUCUUAUAAAUAAAAAUAAAACACUUCAAAGGGUGUCUUUCACAUACAUUUUGAAAUAAUGUAAAUCACUGGUACACAUGAUUUUAAAUCACAGCACAGAGUGAUUUCCAUUCAAUUAGAAAGUAAAUCACUUGUGGAAAUGAUUUUAAAUCACUUGUUGAAAUGAUUUUAAAUCACUUGUAGAAAUGAUUUAAAAUCACUUGUGCAAAUGAUUUAAAAUCACUGCACAGAGUGAAUUAAAAUUGGUGUUUAUUUCUGAU